CCUACGGGAGGCAGCAGUGGGGAAUAUUGGGCAAUGGGCGCAAGCCUGACCCAGCAACGCCGCGUGAAGGAAGAAGGCUUUCGGGUUGUAAACUUCUUUUAAGAGGGAAGAGCAGAAGACGGUACCUCUUGAAUAAGCCACGGCUAACUACGUGCCAGCAGCCGCGGUAAUACGUAGGUGGCAAGCGUUGUCCGGAUUUACUGGGGGUAAAGGGCGUGCAGCCGGGAAGGCAAGUCAGAUGUGAAAUCCCGCGGCUCAACCGCGGAACUGCAUUUGAAACUGUUUUUCUUGAGUACCGGAGAGGUCAUCGGAAUUCCUUGUGUAGCGGUGAAAUGCGUAGAUAUAAGGAAGAACACCAGUGGCGAAGGCGGAUGACUGGACGGCAACUGACGGUGAGGCGCGAAAGCGUGGGGAGCAAACAGGAUUAGAUACCCGGGUAGUC
rnacentral:rRNA from 1 species